UAGCCACAGCCCUAUCCCUAGCCUGAGGUAGGAGGUUGCAUGCAAGCUCACCAUAACCUAUAUAGUACACAGAGAGCCUUUAUCCCACAACACAGCACAAAACAAUACUUC
rnacentral:miRNA from 1 species